GAAAUGCGAUAAGUAAUGUGAAUUGCAGAAUUCAGUGAAUCAUCGAAUCUUUGAACGCACAUUGCGCCCGCCAGUAUUCUGGCGGGCAUGCCUGUUCGAGCUUCAUUACAACCCUCAGGCCCCCGGGCCUGGCGUUGGGGAUCGGCGGAAGCCCCCUGCGGGCACAACGCCGUCCCCCAAAUACAGUGGCGGUCCCGCCGCAGCUUCCAUUGCGUAGUAGCUAACACCUCGCAACUGGAGAGCGGCGCGGCCACGCCGUAAAACACCCAACUUCUGAAUGUUGACCUCGAAUCAGGUAGGAAUACCCGCUGAACUUAAGC
rnacentral:misc_RNA from 1 species